rnacentral:rRNA from 1 species
UACAGAGGUCCCGAGCGUUGUUCGGAUUCAUUGGGCGUAAAGGGUGCGUAGGUGGCGCCGUAAGUGGGGUGUGAAAUCCCGGGGCUUAACCCCGGGACUGCAUUCCAUACUGCGGUGCUUGAGGACUGGAGAGGAGACUGGAAUUUACGGUGUAGCAGUGAAAUGCGUAGGGAUCGUAAGGAACACCAGUGGCGAAGGCGGCUCACUGGCCCGGUACUGACGCUGAGGUGCGAAAGCGUGGGGAGCAAACAGG